rnacentral:rRNA from 1 species
UGACGCUGGCGGCAGGCCUAACACAUGCAAGUCGAGCGGAAACGAGUUGUCUGAACCUUCGGGGAACGAUAACGGCGUCGAGCGGCGGACGGGUGAGUAAUGCCUGGGAAAUUGCCCUGAUGUGGGGGAUAACCAUUGGAAACGAUGGCUAAUACCGCAUAAUAGCUUCGGCUCAAAGAGGGGGACCUUCGGGCCUCUCGCGUCAGGAUAUGCCCAGGUGGGAUUAGCUAGUUGGUGAGGUAAAGGCUCACCAAGGCAACGAUCCCUAGCUGGUCUGAGAGGAUGAUCAGCCACACUGGAACUGAGACACGGUCCAGACUCCUACGGGAGGCAGCAGUGGGGAAUAUUGCACAAUGGGCGCAAGCCUGAUGCAGCCAUGCCGCGUGUAUGAAGAAGGCCUUCGGGUUGUAAAGUACUUUCAGCAGUGAGGAAGGCGGAUGCGUUAAUAGCGUAUUCGUUUGACGUUAGCUGCAGAAGAAGCACCGGCUAACUCCGUGCCAGCAGCCGCGGUAAUACGGAGGGUGCGAGCGUUAAUCGGAAUUACUGGGCGUAAAGCGCAUGCAGGUGGUGUGUUAAGUCAGAUGUGAAAGCCCGGGGCUCAACCUCGGAAUAGCAUUUGAAACUGGCACACUAGAGUACUGUAGAGGGGGGUAGAAUUUCA